UGAUGUUUAACUGAGUGGAUAACGCGAUGGCGUUUGAAGCGAAAGGUACUGUGUUCGAGUCCCAGAGUGAACAUCA
rnacentral:tRNA from 1 species